AGGGCACUACCUCAGCUGGAUAGAGGACUCGGCUACGAACCGAGGCGUCGGGGGUUCGAAUCCCUCGUGCCCUGCCA
rnacentral:tRNA from 1 species